rnacentral:rRNA from 1 species
GAUGAACGCUGGCGGCGUGCCUAAUACAUGCAAGUCGAACGCUGGAGAUCUAGCUUGCUAGAUCAAGGGGUGGGGAACGGGUUGGUAAUUCAUAAGCAACCUAACCCACAAGACCGGGAAAAAUCUCGGAAACGGGGGACAAUACCGGGUAGGUUAAUCGGAGGCCUCUUUCUGGUUUUAAAGGGUUAAAAAACCUGGUGAUGGGCUUAUUGCGCAUUAGUUAGUUGGUGAGGGUACGGCCCACCAAGACGAUGAUGCGUAGCCGGCCUGAGAGGGUGAACGGCCACAUUGGGACUGAGACACGGCCCAGACUCCUACGGGAGGCAGCAGUAGGGAAUUUUCGGCAAUGGGGGCAACCCUGACCGAGCAACGCCGCGUGAGUGAAGACGGCCUUCGGGUUGUAAAGCUCUGUUGUAAGGGAAGAACGGUAGAUAGAGAAUAUCUAAGUGACGGUACCUUACCAGAAAGCCACGGCUAACUACGUG